rnacentral:rRNA from 1 species
ACACGUCUACAUUAGAUACCCGGGUAGUCCCAGCCCUAAACGAUGCGCGUUAGGUGUAUCGGUGACCACGAGUCACCGAGGUGCCGAAGGGAAACCGUGAAACGUGCCGCCUGGGAAGUACGGUCGCAAGGCUGAAACUUAAAGGAAUUGGCGGGGGAGCACCACAACGGGUGGAGCUUGCGGUUUAAUUGGAUUCAACGCCGGAAAUCUUACCGGGACCGACAGCAACAUGAAGGCCAGGCUGAAGACUUUGCCGGAUUAGCUG